UACAGAGGUCCCAAGCGUUAUCCGGAUUCACUGGGUUUAAAGGGUGCGUAGGCGGGCAUGUAAGUCCGUGGUGAAAUCUCCGAGCUUAACUCGGAAACUGCCAUGGAUACUAUGUGUCUUGAAUGUUGUGGAGGUGAGCGGAAUAUGUCAUGUAGCGGUGAAAUGCUUAGAUAUGACAUAGAACACCAAUUGCGAAGGCAGCUCACUACACAAAUAUUGACGCUGAGGCACGAAAGCGUGGGGAUCAAACAGG
rnacentral:rRNA from 1 species